UAGGGAAUAUUGGGCAAUGGAGGAAACUCUGACCCAGCCAUGCCGCGUGAAGGAUGAAGGUCCUACGGAUUGUAAACUUCUUUUAUUAGGGAAGAAACGUCUCGAUUCAUCGGGAUUUGACGGUACCUAAGGAAUAAGCACCGGCUAACUCCGUGCCAGCAGCCGCGGUAAUACGGAGGGUGCAAGCGUUAUCCGGAUUCACUGGGUUUAAAGGGUGCGUAGGUGGAUUGAUAAGUCAGUGGUGAAAGCC
rnacentral:rRNA from 1 species